UACGUAGGGUGCGAGCGUUGUCCGGAAUUAUUGGGCGUAAAGCGCUCGCAGGUGGCCCGAUGCGUCGUGCGUGAAAGCCCCCGGCUCAACUGGGGAGUGUCGUGCGAUACGGUCGGGCUGGAGGCCAGUAGGGGGAUGCGGAAUUCCGGGUGUAGUGGUGGAAUGCGUAGAGAUCCGGAGGAACCCCAGAGGCGAAGGCGGCGCUCUGGCUCGCAACUGACGCUGAGGAGCGAAAGCAUGGGGAGCGAACAGG
rnacentral:rRNA from 1 species